rnacentral:rRNA from 1 species
UACGUAGGGGGCAAGCGUUGUCCGGAAUCAUUGGGCGUAAAGAGCGUGUAGGCGGUCCGGUCAGUCGGUUGUGAAAGUCAAAGGCUCAACCUUUGAAUGUCAGUGGAUACUGCCGGGCUAGAGUCCGGAAGAGGCCGAGUGGAACUCCUGGUGUGAGCGGUGGAAUGCGCAGAUAGUCAGGAGGAACACCGGUGGCGAAGACGGAUCUCUGGGCCGAUACUGACGCUGAGGAGCGAAAGCGUGGGGGAGCGAACAGG